UCUUCUUAUGAAAGCGAUGACGGAGGCGCAUUUCUUUUCCGUUCAGAUGUACUAUAAUAAUAAAUAUUCAACAAUAUGAAAUUCAGUAUGAAUUUGACGACGGGAAGGAGUGUGUCGCUGUCACCUGUUUUACCUACAUGUUAUUGCGAUCUUUUUGUCAUGGACUAGAGGAACACAGUUGAAUUCUAGAGCUUGAGAAAGCAACAAUAAAGUUGCGAAACGUCGCUCAUAGAAGAAG